UACAGAGGUCCCAAGCGUUGUUCGGAUUCACUGGGCGUAAAGGGUGCGCAGGUGGGCGUGGUAAGUUCGAUGUGAAAGCCCCGGGCUUAACCCGGGAAAGGCAUUGGAUACUACUGGUCUGGAGGAUUGGAGGGGGGACUGGAAUUCUUGGUGUAGCAGUGAAAUGCGUAGAUAUCAAGAGGAACACCAGUGGCGAAGGCGAGUCCCUGGACAAUACCUGACACUGAGGCACGAAAGCCAAGGGAGCAAACAGG
rnacentral:rRNA from 1 species